UUUAGUCUAGACAGCCAGAGGGUUUAGAAAUGUUGCCUGAACCUAUGCUGUGGAACCGCUUUGUUGUGUCAAUGUUUCAGAUAUCAGGACCAAAGCCAAUGUGCACAUCCUGGUCAAGUACACUGACACAGUGGCUGCUGUGAGAUGCCAGGCUGCAGUCUCAGGAUAUUGCAGACAACAUGACACAUUGGAAAUUCCCAGAUGGAAACUUCAGCAAAGAUUGGUUAAGACUGGUAUCCGUUGUCUCCUGGUGACUCGUGGAGCUCCACUGAGUUCCUGACAUCACUGACCGGGUGGAAUUUCUGUUCACCUGUGGUAACCAACACAUUGCUCAACAACGAGGCCUGAGCCAAACCAUAGCUUAGAAUCAUAACCUGCCAGUGCUUAAAAAAUCUACAGUUUAUG